UCCAGCUCGCCCUGUCGCAGUGUCGCUGUCUCACCCGAGCCAACUGCGGCGCCCCUUCUGCCGCUGCGCCGCCUCUCGCCAUCGCCAUUGCCAUUGCCUCAACCUCCGCCGCCGACGUGGAGGUUCCCGCCCCAUCUCAACGGCCGCGGCGGCUCCCACCCCAUCUCCUCAACCACCGCCGUCAACGCCUGCCUCUAAACACGGCUCCCCACGAAGUCCUGGCCACAGUACUAUGGCAGCGGCUUCUCCAUUCGCAUGCUAUCAACCUUCGACGAUAUACUAGAGCCCGAGGUAAUUAACCAGUCUCGUAUUCUCUCGAGAUUAGGGCCUCGAUGGCCAUUGCCGACAAGCGGGUGUGCUCGCGAUUAGGUCAACACGGAGCUCAGGAUCGAACGCCAAGAGCGCGUUGAUGUUUUCCAUCGCCUCGUCGAGCUGCUAGAACUGCUCCAUCCUGACCGGCGAUCGCGGAUCUCCCCUUGACGAAAUGCGCACAAACCAAGUGUUUGUAUGCUUCUUGAUUGAUUUGUGCUCUGUUUCUUGAGAUGCCACGAGCCUCGGUUUCUUUCGAUGCAACACAACAUGGUGACUCCUUGCCAUGCUCCCAUGACAUGUCCGACGUAAUGCAUAAAUGGAGCGCCACCGCUAGGAGGGGGUAGCGUCAUCUGCGGCCAGACAGAUUCAUAGCCUACAAGGCGCUGGUUGAAUGUGCAGUGCACCAAAUUAUUCCUUUUUCUUGCAUUGUCAGCAGGGAAAUUGACAAAGAAGAGUUUAGGAAAGUCAUGACAUUGAUGCGGUCCUAUAAUAUGCAAGGAGCUGCCCACAGGGAUGGAUUAAGUUUUGGACGUAUGGUUGGUCAGCCAAUGGAAAAUGGUGGACUGGUUGAGUACUUCUUUGGCAAGGAUGGGAAUGAACAUCUACACUAUGAUAAGUUCUCUAAAUUUUUGAAGCAAUUGCAUGAUGAGAUUGGAGUUCAGUCACUAUGAUGCCAAAUCAUCCUAGACAAUACCUGUGAAGGACUUUGCAUUAUCUAUGGUUGCUUUUGCAAACAUGAAUCACAUAAACAAGCUGUUGGAUAGAAUUGAUGAUUUGGAUGACAAUCCUGAUCUGAAGGAUUUGUGCAUUACCUUUGAGGAUUUCAAGGCAUUUGCUGAUCUCUGCCAAAGGCUGGAACAGUUAUGGCAAAGUAAAUGGUUUAUUGACGAAGCAGGAUCUAAAAUGUGCAGCAACUCAUGUAAGGUCUUCUGUCCUUUUG